rnacentral:snRNA from 2 species
AUGCCUUUCUCAGCCUUUUGGCUAAGAUCGAGUGUAGUAUAAUAUCUGAUAUGUGAAUCAAUGAUCCACAAGAUAUUAAAUUACUUUUUUUAAGGAGAGUUUGCAUAAGUAGCUUGCUACUUGGGCUCUUAAGUGUUGUUGCAUGGGCUGACACAUUCCACCGAUUCAUUCAACAUAAAAUAU